AUCUUCAGGGCAGGGUGAAAUUCCCGAUCGGCGGUAUAGUCCGCGAGUGCGUCAGCACAGGACUUGGCAGUUGUCCAAGUCAGGAUUUGGUGAGAUUCCAAAACCGACAGUAUAGUCUGGAUGGGAGAAGAU
rnacentral:ncRNA from 1 species